rnacentral:rRNA from 1 species
GGAGCAAACAUGAUUAGAUACCCUGGUAGUCCACGCCGUAAACGAUGUCUACUUGGAGGUUGUGGCCUUGAGCCGUGGCUUUCGGAGCUAACGCGUUAAGUAGACCGCCUGGGGAGUACGGUCGCAAGAUUAAAACUCAAAUGAAUUGACGGGGGCCCGCACAAGCGGUGGAGCAUGUGGUUUAAUUCGAUGCAACGCGAAGAACCUUACCUACUCUUGACAUCCAGAGAACUUUCCAGAGAUGGAUUGGUGCCUUCGGGAACUCUGAGACAGGUGCUGCAUGGCUGUCGUCAGCUCGUGUUGUGAAAUGUUGGGUUAAGUCCCGCAACGAGCGCAACCCUUAUCCUUGUUUGCCAGCACUUCGGGUGGGAACUCCAGGGAGACUGCCGGUGAUAAACCGGAGGAAGGUGGGGACGACGUCAAGUCAUCAUGGCCCUUACGAGUAGGGCUACACACGUGCUACAAUGGCGUAUACAGAGGGCUGCCAACUCGCGAGAGUGAGCGAAUCCCAGAAAGUACGUCGUAGUCCGGAUUGGAGUCUGCAACUCGACUCCAUGAAGUCGGAAUCGCUAGUAAUCGUGAAUCAGAAUGUCACGGUGAAUACGUUCCCGGGCCUUGUACACACCGCCCGUCACACCAUGGGAGUGGGCUGCACCAGAAGUAGAUAGCUUAACCUUCUGGGAGGGCG